AUGUGAUCAGGGAAACAGAUACUGUUUGCAGCAACAAAACAUGGAGCACUGGCAGCCACCUGAAGCCAGACUAGACUCGCAACAGAAAGUAUGUCCAUGGACACAGUCUUAGAGAAUGUCUUAAAACUCAUCUGCCACUUUUCUCAACAUUAAUCCAAUCUCAUGAUAUGCUUCUUCACUUUAUUCCCAUCACUUGGCACUUCUUUAUCUACAACAAAAAGAUGAUGAAACUCAGUGCUGAAGUGCUUUGCUCAUCAAGCAAGGGACAACACGAAACUGAAA